ensembl:lncRNA
UUUGUGUUUAGUGAGUCCACCAGAUCAGAGGCAGUAGGGAUGACCAGGGAUGUUCUCUGUUUAGUGAGUCCACCAGAUCAGAGGCAGUAGGGAUGACCAGGGAUGUUCUCUGUUUAGUGAGUCCACCAGAUCAGAGGCAGUAGGGAUGACCAGGGAUGUUCUCUGUUUAGUGAGUCCUCCAGAUCAGAGGCAGUAGGGAUGACCAGGGAUGUUCUCUGUUUAGUGAGUCCACCAGAUCAGAGGCAGUAGGGAUGACCAGGGAUGUUCUCUGUUUAGUGAGUCCACCAGAUCAGAGGCAGUAGGGAUGACCAGGGAUGUUCUCUGUUUAGUGAGUCUGUCAGAUCAGAGGCAGUAGGGAGGACCAGGGAUGUUCUCUGUUUAGUGAGUCCACCAGAUCAGAGGCAGUAGGGAUGACCAGGGAUGCUCUCUGUUUAGUGAGUCCGCCAGAUCAGAGGCAGUAGGGAUGACCAGGGAUGCUCUCUGUUUAGUGAGUCCGCCAGAUCAGAGGCAGUAGGGAUGACCAGGGAUGUUCUCUGUUUAGUGAGUCCACCAGAUCAGAGGCAGUAGGGAUGACCAGGGAUGUUCUCUGUUUAGGGAGUCCACCAGAUCAAAGGCAAUAGGGAUGACCAGGGAUGUUCUCUGUUUAGUGAGUGCUCCAGAUCAGAGACAGUAGGGAGGACCAGGGAUGUUCUCUGUUUAGUGAGUGCUCCA